rnacentral:rRNA from 1 species
AUACGUAGGGGGCGAGCGUUGUCCGGAAUGAUUGGGCGUAAAGGGCGCGUAGGCGGCGCGGUAAGUCUGGAGUGAAAGUCCUGCUUUCAAGGUGGGAAUUGCUUUGGAUACUGCCGCGCUUGAGUGCAGGAGAGGUUAUCGGAAUUCCCGGUGUAGCGGUGAAAUGCGUAGAGAUCGGGAGGAACACCAGUGGCGAAGGCGGGUAACUGGACUGCAACUGACGCUGAGGCGCGAAAGUGUGGGGAGCAAACAGGAUUAGAUACUCUGGUAGUCCACACUGUAAACGAUGGGUACUAGGUAUAGGGAGUAUCGACCCUCUUUGUGCCGAAGCUAACGCUUUAAGUACCCCGCCUGGGGACUACGGCCGCAAGGCUAAAACUCAAAUGAAUUGACGGGG